rnacentral:rRNA from 1 species
GACAGAGGAUGCAAGCGUUAUCCGGAAUGAUUGGGCGUAAAGCGUCUGUAGGUGGCUUUUUAAGUCCGCCGUCAAAUCCCAGGGCUCAACCCUGGACAGGCGGUGGAAACUACCAAGCUGGAGUACGGUAGGGGCAGAGGGAAUUUCCGGUGGAGCGGUGAAAUGCGCAGAUAUCAGGAGGAACACCGGUGGCGAAGGCGGGUCUCUGGGCCGGAACUGACGCUGAGGAGCGAAAGCGUGGGGAGCGAACAGG